AUUGAACGCUGGCGGCAUGCUUUACACAUGCAAGUCGAACGGUAACAGGCCUUCGGGUGCUGACGAGUGGCGAACGGGUGAGUAAUGCAUCGGAACGUACCCAGAGGUGGGGGAUAACGCAGCGCAAGCUGUGCUAAUACCGCAUGUGAUCUGAGGAUGAAAGCGGGGGACCGGGCAGCAAUGUUUGGCCUCGCGCCUUUGGACGCGCCGUUGUCGGAUUAGCUAGUUGGUGGGGUAAAGGCCUACCAAGGCGACGAUCCGUAGCUGGACUGAGAGGCCGAUCGGCCACACUGGGACUGGGACACGGCCAAGACUCCUGCGGGAGGCCGCAGUGGGGAAGUGUAGGCAGUGGGGGCAAGCCUGGUCCAGCAAUGCCGCGUGCGGGAAGAAGGCCUUCGGGUUGUAAACAGCUUUUGGCAGGAACGAAACGGUGUCCGCUAAUACCGGGCGCUAAUGACGGUACCUGCAGAAUAAGCACCGGCUAACUACGUG
rnacentral:rRNA from 1 species